rnacentral:rRNA from 1 species
UACGAAGGGGGCUAGCGUUGCUCGGAAUUACUGGGCGUAAAGGGAGCGUAGGCGGAUAGUUUAGUCAGAGGUGAAAGCCCAGGGCUCAACCUUUGAAAGCCGGUGGAUACUGUGGGACUAGAGUACGGAAGAGGCGAGUGGAAUUCCUGGUGUAGCGGUGGAAUGCGCAGAUAUCCGGAGGAACACCGAUGGCGAAGGCAGCUCGCUGGGACGGUACUGACGCUGAGGCGCGAAAGCGUGGGGAGCGAACAGG